CCGCAUCUCAGCACCGGGCGAGGAAUCCGUGUGUACGCAGCCCCAGCGCCCCACCCCAGAGGUGGCUGCAUCCCAGCACCGGGCGAGGAAUCCGUGUGUACGCAGCCCCAGCGCCCCACCCCAGAGGUGGCCGCAUCUCAGCACCGGGCGAGGAAUCCGUGUGUACGCAGCCCCAGCGCCCCACCCCAGAGGUGGCCGCAUCUCAGCACCGGGCGAGGAAUCCGUGUAUACACAGCCCCUGCGCCCCACCCCAGAGAUGGCCGCAUCUCAGCACCGGGCGAGGAAUCCGUGUGUACACAGCCCCAGCGCCCCACCCCAGAGGUGGCCGCAUCUCAGCACCGGGCAAGGAAUCCGUGUGUACACAGCUCCAGCGCCCCACCCCAGAGGUGGCUGCAUCCCAGCAAGGGAAGAGGAAUCCGUGUGUACACAGCCCCAGCACCCCACCCCAGAGGUGGCCGCAUCUCAGCACCGGGCGAGGAAUCCGUGUGUACGCAGCCCCAGCACCCCACCCCAGAGGUGGCCGCAUCUCAGCACCGGGCGAGGAAUCCGUGUGUACGCAGCCCCUGCGCCCCACCCCAGAGGUGGCCGCAUCUCAGCACCGGGCGAGGAAUCUGUGUGUACGCAGCCCCUGCGCCCCACCCCAGAGGUGGCUGCAUCCCAGCAAGGGAAGAGGAAUCUGUGUGUACGCAGCCCCAGCGCCCCACCCCAGAGGUGGCUGCAUCUCAGCACCGGGCGAGGAAUCCGUAUAUACACAGCCCCAGCGCCCCACCCCAGAGGUGGCUGCAUCCCAGCACUGGGCGAGGAGUCUGCGUAUGUACGGCCGUCCCAACCCCGUUGUGUGUGUCUCCUACCGGCUCUCCUGGCAGCGUGCAGGGCGGAUGCUGGCGCGAGGCCGG